UUAAUUAUAUCUAAGCCGAAUGUACUUCUUGAACUCGAAUUGAAACUUGAUAAGCUUUCAAUAUUAUGUCUCUGCACCUCGACGUACGACCUCGCUCCUCUAAACCCCAUAACUUUCUUUUUUUUUAAUCUCAAUUUCUAUCAGCCGCCCAGAUUCCCCUCAUCUUUGUGUAUGUAUUGUGGUCUCCAAGGAGACAGACAUUUGGAGUGAGGUUAACGCUGCUGACUGAAAGGAGGGGUGAACUCGAGUGGGUGAUCGUUAAUGGUGAAGAAGCAGAAGAAGAAGAGACGAGGGAGAGCAGCGGCUGUUGCUAUUGUGUCUUACGACGGGUUUGGGUGGUGGUCGGGGUUAGGCUACUGUUGGCUAAGGUCGACUGUGGUGAGUUGUUGAUGGUUGUUGGCUAGGGUUCAGGGGUGUGUUUUUCCAGCGGGUUUUGGGAUACGGCUGUGCAGCGGCGGCGUAGGGUAGGCGACGACUGAAGGACUAGGUGUUGUGAAGCCGGCCGAGCUAUGGUGUCGGGGGUCUGCUAGGUUAGGUUUAGUUCUAUGUCUUUUCCAUCGUUGUGUGUAGGGUUUCCAGGUUAAAGGUUUUGUUUUGUCCUCUAAUGAAGAAUAUGAAAAAAAAUGUUGUUCCCCCC
rnacentral:lncRNA from 1 species